rnacentral:rRNA from 1 species
CAAGGUGAAACCUAAUUGGCCUGAAGAAGAGCUUGCGUCUGAUUAGCUAGUUGGUGGGGUAAGAGCCUACCAAGGCGACGAUCAGUAGCUGGUCUGAGAGGAUGAGCAGCCACACUGGGACUGAGACACGGCCCAGACUCCUACGGGAGGCAGCAGUGGGGAAUUUUCCGCAAUGGGCGAAAGCCUGACGGAGCAACGCCGCGUGAGGGAGGAAGGUCUUUGGAUUGUAAACCUCUUUUCUCAAGGAAGAAGUUCUGACGGUACUUGAGGAAUCAGCCUCGGCUAACUCCGUGCCAGCAGCCGCGGUAAUACGGGGGAGGCAAGCGUUAUCCGGAAUUAUUGGGCGUAAAGCGUCCGCAGGUGGUCAGCCAAGUCUGCC